GAUCUGGUUCAGGAUGAACGCUGGCGGCGUGCCUAACACAUGCAAGUCGAGCGAUUCUCUUCGGAGAAGAGCGGCGGACGGGUGAGUAACGCGUGGGUAACCUGCCUCAUACACAUGGAUAACAUACCGAAAGGUAUGCUAAUACAGGAUAAUAUAAGAGAUUCACAUGGAUUUCUUAUCAAAGCUCCGGCGGUAUGAGAUGGACCCGCGUCUGAUUAGCUAGUUGGUAAGGUAAUGGCUUACCAAGGCGACGAUCAGUAGCCGACCUGAGAGGGUGAUCGGCCACAUUGGAACUGAGACACGGUCCAAACUCCUACGGGAGGCAGCAGUGGGGAAUAUUGCACAAUGGGCGAAAGCCUGAUGCAGCAACGCCGCGUGAGUGAUGAAGGCCUUCGGGUCGUAAAACUCUGUCCUCAAGGAAGAUAAUGACGGUACUUGAGGAGGAAGCCCCGGCUAACUACGUGCCAGCCGCCGC
rnacentral:rRNA from 1 species